rnacentral:rRNA from 1 species
GAUGAACGCUAGCGGGAGGCUUAAUACAUGCAAGUCGAGGGGUAACAUGGGUGCUUGCACCUGAUGACGACCGGCGCACGGGUGAGUAACGCGUACACGACCUACCUUUGAGAGGGAGAUAGCCUCGGGAAACUGAGAAUAAUACCCCAUAGCAUUAUCGUUUUAGAAAGUGAUAAUUAAAGGCUUCGGCUGCUCAAAGAUGGGUGUGCGUCCCAUUAGCUAGUUGGUGAGGUAACGGCAUCACCAAGGCGACGAUGGGUAGGGGGCGUGAGAGCGUGACCCCCCACACGGGUACUGAGACACGGACCCGACUCCUACGGGAGGCAGCAGUAAGGAAUAUUGGACAAUGGGCGCAAGCCUGAUCCAGCCAUCCCGCGUGCAGGAUGACGGCCCUCUGGGUUGUAAACUGCUUUUGCAAGGGAAGAAUAGCAUGCAUUUAUGCGUGUAUGACGGUACCUUGAGAAUAAGCACCGGCUAACUCCG